AGAGUAAAACAGUACGUGAAAUUGUUGAAAGGGAAACGCUUGAAGUCAGUCGUGCCGGCGGAGAUUCAGCUCGCUUCGCGGAGUUGGGCGCAUUUCUUCGCAUGGCAGGUCAGCGUCAGUUUCGCGCGUCGUGAAAGGGCUCGGGUAAGGUGACUCUCUCCGGGGAGUGUUAUAGACCUGAGCAGAUGCGCUGCGCGGGACUGAGGAUUGCAGCGGACACCCUUCGGGGCGCGGCGACCGAUCCCUGCUUCAUCACCCUUGUCCGAUAGCGUGCUAACGGGCCGGGGAGCGGUGGGUGCACCGGGUUGGCAAGCCGGCGGUUCCGCUAAGGACGCUGACGUAAUGGCUUUAAACGACC
rnacentral:rRNA from 1 species